CUUGAACGCAUAAAUUUUACAGAGUAAAUAUAGAUAAGAAGAAUAAAUAGUGGAAGAAAGAUAUAGAUGGAGUAAAAAUAUACAAAUCAGCACCAUCUCUAGAGAUUUGUAUGAAAUUAACAUAGACAAUUAAAAGAAUAAAAAUAGAAUAAAAAUUAGCCAUUAGCGCUAUCUCUUGAGUGCCUCAAAAAUAUUUCUUUAAAGAUAAAAUAGGAUAAGAAAUGAAGAUUAGCGCUAAAAUAGUAUAUUAUCGACAGAAUAAGCUAAAUCGUUUAACUUUUUAAACUUUAAACACAAACUUAGAUUCAUAAGAAUAAUUUAAAAUUCUUAUUUUAUUAUGAUAUAUCUUUUAUAAAAAAUGUGAUUAAAAAAUAUUUUUCAUUUAUAUAAAAUGAAUGAAAUAUCUAAUAACGUAGAUUUCUAUUUGUGUAUUUAUAUUAUAUCUUAUAAAUAUAUUAAAUAUUACUUUAAGAAGGCAACAUGUAAAAUAUUUAUGAUCAUGUUGAAUAAAAGAUUUGAUAUUUUUAAUUAAUAAUAUUAAUAUUGUAGAUUAUUUUGUAAUGUUUAGUAAUAUAUUUGUAACAUUAUAAAGCUUGAUCAUCAUAUAAAUCUUUUAUUCUAAUAAAAAAGAUGAUUGAAAAAGUAAAACAUAAAAAAUAGGAUACUAACACAUUUUGAAUAUCUCCAAAAUAUCAAAAAUUAAAAGUUGAGGAUCUUAUAUGACACGUUUUGCUGAUUAUAACAAUAAGUAAUUGCAUUUGUAGGCGAAGAAACUAAGCGUAAACAAUAUGUAUAGAUAUAAAUACAAUAUUAAACAGUAAAAAGUUGAUAAGAACAUGAAGUAAAUAAACAACAACAAACGAGCUUUGGAAAAACCAUGUAUUAUAGAAUAAUAAUAGAUUACAUUGUUCAUGGUAAUAAUGAUAUAAUAAACCAGAAUAUACCUGACAAUAAUAAUAAGAAUCUAAAAUAACACGAAUACUGAAUACAUAUUAUUAACAAUAAUGAGAGGAGGGACUUUGGGGAUGUUUGGCAAAGGAAGGGGCCAAGCCGCUCAGAAUUGUAUUCGAAAUAAAAGAAAAAAGAAGAGAAGACGAGAAGGAAGUAAAUAAAGUUUCUUAGAUAAAAUUAAUAAGAUUUUCUGAUUAAACGUAACAUCUUUGACACGUUUAGUCAUUUGAGCAUUUUAAAAUAAAAAUUGACUAAAUAACUCGACGCAAAACGAUUUCAAUUACGUUUGACAUCCGCUCCUCUUAUCGUAUGCAAAAAAAAUUAUAUAUUUGUGAAUUAAUAGAACAAGACAAAAAAAAAUUAAAACAAAAAAAAAAAAAAAACGAAAUACAA